rnacentral:rRNA from 1 species
CACGUAGGGGGCGAGCGUUGUCCGGAAUCAUUGGGCGUAAAGAGCUCGUAGGCGGCUCAGUAAGUCGGGUGUGAAACCCCCAGGCUCAACCUGGGGACGCCACCCGAUACUGCUGUGGCUAGAGUCCAGUAGGGGAGUGUGGAAUUCCCGGUGUAGAGGUGAAAUUCGUAGAUAUCGGGAGGAACACCGGUGGCGAAGGCGGCGACCUGGGUAGAUACUGACGCUGAGGCGCGAAAGCGUGGGGAGCAAACAGG